rnacentral:rRNA from 1 species
AUGGGUCGGCGAAAAAUUAGGAGGGAUAGGAUCGAUGCCCACAACAGAUUGAUGAGGCACUAUUUUGUGGAUAAUCCCAUGUACCCCGGGUCGUACUUCCGGCGCCAGUUUAGGAUGAGCACCGAGUUGUUCAGGCGCAUUGCAGAGAAACUACCGAGCCAUGAUAGGUUUUUUCAGCAAAGGAGGAAUGCCGCCGGAGAGCUCGGGCAUAGCACCUUUCAAAAGGUGAAAGCCGCUUUGCGUAUGUUGGCAUACUGUACUCCGGCUGAUCUAGUUGAUGACCACUUGGCCAUGGGUGAGAGUCAAGCCAUCAUGUGUGUCAAGGGCUUCGCAGUCAGAAUUGUGCAAGUGUUUGGCCCGGAGUAUUUGAUAUCUCCCAAUGCGGAAGACGCCGCAAGGCUUUUGUAG